UCUACAGGAAACUCGACGGUACUGUCCGUGUGCACGCGAAGGGGUGUGGUGGACUUCAGCCAAGGGGGUCGACAUUGAGCACUACACCUGCAAACACCCGAACACAGUUUUUGCAGAAACCUACAUUUCAGUUUUUUGCAGAAACCUACAUUUUAAGAUUCUACAGUAAACGUGUUGGAAGACAGCAAUGAACGCAUUCCUUAUUGGCCUUGGAAAAACACCUGAAGGGUAUGAAGUUAUCAAACGGAGGAUCAGGAACUGCAGCAUCAACUUCAAAUUGGAGACCUGAUCCUGGUUCCAAGACAUAGCCAAUCCAUAAGUUCAACCUUGGGCUAUUAUCACGCUUGCAUUUAUUUUUCAGAUGGGGACCAGAACAUCAUCGAUUUCACACCAGAACGACAAACAUCCUCCCGUUCCCCUUCAGGUGUAGGAGGCGUGUCGACAGAGCAAAUAAAUGAGUUCUGUGAAGGCGACAAAUACGUCGUUUAUCGUAAAUCAGGGGGGAUUCCCCAUGAUUUUGAAGAUCGAGUUAGUGCGGCACUGGGGAGUAAUAAAAAGUAUAAUCUCCUCAGUCACAACUGCAUCCAUUUUGCAUUGGAGCUGCUGGAGGACAAACCAGAGGUAAUACAUUUAUUUGUAGCUUCACCAAAAAAAUACAAAAUAAAAUAAAAAAUAACUGUAAGCACUAUUGUAAUGAUCGUGGGACAUUGUACAUAUUAAGAAAAAAAAAACAGGUUCACUACAACAGAAUGAAACUGUUAAUUGUCUACAUAUCAUAUACAGUAAAACCCUCGCUCGCAAAAUUUUACCCUGUUUCACGAGCAAAUUUC